rnacentral:rRNA from 1 species
UCAGGCGUCGAGCGGCGGACGGGUGAGUAAUACUUAGGAAUCUACCUAGUAGUGGGGGAUAGCACGGGGAAACUCGUAUUAAUACCGCAUACGACCUACGGGAGAAAGGGGGCAGUUUACUGCUCUCGCUAUUAGAUGAGCCUAAGUCGGAUUAGCUAGAUGGUGGGGUAAAGGCCUACCAUGGCGACGAUCUGUAGCUGGUCUGAGAGGAUGAUCAGCCACACCGGGACUGAGACACGGCCCGGACUCCUACGGGAGGCAGCAGUGGGGAAUCUUAGACAAUGGGCGCAAGCCUGAUCUAGCGAUGCCGCGUGAGUGACGAAGGCCUUAGGGUCGUAAAGCUCUUUCGCCAGGGAUGAUAAUGACAGUACCUGGUAAAGAAACCCCGGCUAACUCCGUGCCAGCAGCCGCGGUAAUACGGAGGGGGUUAGCGUUGUUCGGAAUUACUGGGCGUAAAGCGCACGUAGGCGGAUUGACAAGUUGGGGGUGAAAUCCCGGGGCUCAACCCCGGA